AAACCACUCACCCAGCGCAAAGUACUUUAUCUCCGUUCUGGCACCAAUUACGGGUAGACUUUCCAACAAGCAGAAGGUUCACCAUCAUGUAGAAAAUAGUCCACAUAAGUGCUGCUGAAUUGUAGAACGUUUCAGAGUUGUUUGAACGGGUUCACCGUGUACAACUACGUUCCUGGAUGAUACAUAGAACGGGUACAUUCCCUGUGAAUAUGAAAAUGUAGGUAACGAAAUAAAUAAUGAAAGUACGCGAUUUGUUGAGUUGAAAUUACACCAAUGUAAAAAUAAAAACGAAAAAAAUUAUAAA